rnacentral:rRNA from 1 species
AACGAACGCUGGCGGCAGGCUUAACACAUGCAAGUCGAACGGUUGCAGCAAUGCAGCAGUGGCAGACGGGUGAGUAACACGUGGGAACCUUCCUAGGGGUACGGAACAACUCAGGGAAACUUGAGCUAAUACCGUAUACGUCCGUGAGGAGAAAGAUUUAUCGCCCUUAGACGGGCCCGCGUCGGAUUAGCUAGUUGGUGGGGUAACGGCCUACCAAGGCGACGAUCCGUAGCUGAUCUUAGAGGAUGAUCAGCCACACUGGGACUGAGACACGGCCCAGACUCCUACGGGAGGCAGCAGUGGGGAAUCUUGGACAAUGGGCGCAAGCCUGAUCCAGCCAUGCCGCGUGAGUGAAGAAGGUCUUCGGAUUGUAAAGCUCUUUUGCCAGGGACGAUAAUGACGGUACCUGGAGAAUAAGCCCCGGCAAACUUCGUGCCAGCAGCCGCAGUAACAC